AUUGAACGCUGGCGGCAGGCCUAACACAUGCAAGUCGAGCGGAGCGGCUGUCGGGUGAGUAAUGCCUAGGACUCUGCCUGGUACUGGGGGAUAACGUCCGGAAACGGGCGCUAAUACCGCAUACUUUCAGCUGAGCUUAGGUCGGAUUCGCUAGUUGGUGGGGUAAAGGCCUACAAGGUCGACGAUCCGUAACUGGUCUGAGAGUAUGAUCAGUCACACUGGAACUGGGAAAAGGUCCAGACUCCUACGGGAGGCAGAAGUGGGAAAGAUUGGAAAAGGGGCGAAAGCCUGAUCAAGCAAUGCGGCGGGUGGGAAGAGGGUCUUCGGAUGGUAAAGCACGUUAAGUUGGGAGGCGUUACCAAAAGAAUAAGCACCGGCUAACUUCGUGCCAGCAGCCGCGGUAAUUC
rnacentral:rRNA from 1 species